rnacentral:rRNA from 1 species
ACGGGUGAGUAACACGUGGGCAACCUGCCCUUGAGACUGGGAUAACUUCGGGAAACCGGAGCUAAUACCGGAUAAUACAAGGAACCUCCUGGUUCCUUGUUGAAAGAUGGUUUCGGCUAUCACUUAAGGAUGGGCCCGCGGCGCAUUAGCUAGUUGGUGGGGUAACGGCUCACCAAGGCGACGAUGCGUAGCCGACCUGAGAGGGUGAUCGGCCACACUGGGACUGAGACACGGCCCAGACUCCUACGGGAGGCAGCAGUAGGGAAUCUUCCACAAUGGACGAAAGUCUGAUGGAGCAACGCCGCGUGAGUGAUGAAGGCCUUCGGGUCGUAAAGCUCUGUUGUUAGGGAAGAACAAGUGCGAGAGUAACUGCUCGCACCUUGACGGUACCUAACCAGAAAGCCACGGCUAACUACGUGCCAGCAGCCGCGGUAAUACGUAGGUGGCAAGCGUUAUCCGGAAUUAUUGGGCGUAAAGCGCGCGCAGGUGGUUUCUUAAGUCUGAUGUGAAAGCCCACGGCUCAACCGUGGAGGGUCAUUGGAAACUGGGGAACUUGAGUGCAGAAGAGGAAAGUGGAAUUCCA